AUUGAACGCUGGCGGCAUGCCUUACACAUGCGAGUCGAACGGUAACAGGUCUUCGGAUGCUGACGAGUGGCGAACGGGUGAGUAAUACAUCGGAACGUGCCCGAUCGUGGGGGAUAACGAGGCGAAAGCUUUGCUAAUACCGCAUACGAUCUACGGAUGAAAGCGGGGGAUCUUCGGACCUCGCGCGGACGGAGCGGCCGAUGGCAGAUUAGGUAGUUGGUGGGAUAAAAGCUUACCAAGCCGACGAUCUGUAGCUGGUCUGAGAGGAUGAUCAGCCACACUGGGACUGAGACACGGCCCAGACUCCUACGGGAGGCAGCAGUGGGGAAUUUUGGACAAUGGGCGAAAGCCUGAUCCAGCCAUGCCGCGUGCAGGAUGAAGGCCUUUGGGUUGUAAACUGCUUUUGUACGGAACGAAAAGCCUCUUUCUAAUAAAGAGGGGUCAUGACGGUACCGUAAGAAUAAGCACCGGCUAACUACGUG
rnacentral:rRNA from 1 species